rnacentral:piRNA from 1 species
AAAAUAAAAAAUUAGCUCGAA